CAAUAGCGUAUAUUAAAGUUGUUGCGGUUAAAAAGCUCGUAGUUGGAUUUCUGCCGAGGACGACCGGUCCGCCCUCUGGGUGAGUAUCUGGCUCGGCCUGGGCAUCUUCUUGGAGAACGUAGCUGCACUUGACUGUGUGGUGCGGUAUCCAGGACUUUUACUUUGAGGAAAUUAGAGUGUUUCAAGCAGGCUUACGCCUUGAAUACAUUAGCAUGGAAUAAUAAGAUAGGACCUCGGUUCUAUUUUGUUGGUUUCUAGAGCUGAGGUAAUGAUUAAUAGGGAUAGUUGGGGGCAUUCGUAUUUAACUGUCAGAGGUGAAAUUCUUGGAUCUGCUAAAGACGGACAACUGCGAAAGCGUUUGCCCAGGAUGUUUUCAUUGA
rnacentral:rRNA from 1 species